UGUAAACAUAAAAUGUACCGGCUGACUUUUAUUCCAUACUCUUUCCAAACACCCUGCGCUGAACAGAUAGCCUACAGUAUAUACUUCAAAGGAUACUCCGGAGGCCACGAGACUGUUCCAAUGGGACUUGAAGGGAUGAUGGCUGGCUUCCUGUCCUCACGAUCACUGAUCUCAGCCGUUUGGUGCAGUGUGCUCAGGAGGACCACAUUCUUGUUCCUCUUUGGGAGGCAAUGCAGGGGAGUGGAAAGCAAUGAAGCUGCUACCUAGCUGGAUUUGAACUUCUAUCAACCAAUGAAAAAACUAUACACUGUAUAUUCAUUCUGGCACCAUGGCAACCCUUUUCUGGUUUAUAUGAGAACAGUAUCUGUUCAGGAAUAUAACUUUAUCACUUGUUCAAAUCAUUUAUCCCAAAUAUUUGCCUCAAAUAUCUUCGAAAUAUAACAUUAUUAACUCAGCCAGUAAAUAUGCAAACAUAUUUGCCAUAUCAAUUGCUUUUUUUCUUUCACUAUUUUACUAAAAUAAUAAUAUGUAUUGUGUUGAUA
ensembl:lncRNA